rnacentral:tRNA from 1 species
GGGGCUGUGGCUCAGUGGUAGAGCACUUGCCUAGCAUGUGUGAGGCACUGGGUUCGAUUCUCAGCUCUG